rnacentral:rRNA from 1 species
UACAUAGGGGGCAAGCGUUGUCCGGAAUCAUUGGGCGUAAAGAGCGUGUAGGCGGCUCGAUAAGUCCGCUCUGAAAGCCCGGGGCUCAACCCCGGGAGGCGGGCGGAUACUGUCGAGCUAGAGUCCGGAAGAGGCGAGUGGAAUUCCUGGUGUAGCGGUGAAAUGCGCAGAUAUCAGGAGGAACACCAAUGGCGAAGGCAGCUCGCUGGGACGGUACUGACGCUGAGACGCGAAAGCGUGGGGAGCGAACAGG